GGCCGAGUGGUGAAGUGGCUUAACACAGCGGUUUGCAAAACCGUCAUUCGGGGGUUCGAAUCCCCCCUCGGCCUCCA
rnacentral:tRNA from 1 species